rnacentral:rRNA from 1 species
GACGAACGCUGGCGGCGUGCUUAACACAUGCAAGUCGAACGGAAAGGCCCUUCUUUUGUGGGGUGCGCGAGGGGAGAGCGUGAGAGACACGCGAGUGACCCCUGCCCGAGACUUGGGGAAAACUACAGGAAACUGGGGCAAACACGGGAUAAGAGCCCGCGCCGCGGGGGGGGGGGGGGAAAGUUUGGGGGGGGGGGGUUGGACUCGCGUUUUCUCAGUUUGUGGGGGGGGGAGUGGCUUACCAAGGCUUUGACGGGGGGCCGGCCUGAGGGGGAGACCGCCCACAUGGGGACGGGGAUACGGCCCGGACUCCUACGGGAGGCAGCAGUGGGGAAUAUUGCACAAUGGGCGGAGGCCUGAUGCAGCAACGCCGCGUGCGGGAUGACGGCCUUCGGGUUGUAACCCGCUUUCGCCUGUGACGAAGCGUGAGUGACGGUAAUGGGUAAAGAAGCACCGGCUAACUACGUG